AUUGUCCUCACUCGUGUUUAGAGCUAGCCAGCCACUCUCACUGCCACAUAAGAAGAAUUUCAUUUUCUUCAUAUGAUCUCAAGACUACCCUUUUAAGUUUUUGUCUUGUUAACCUGUAGAAGAACUAACAUUUUGAUCUAUGUUUAGGGUUUAUAUAUGUUUUGUUAUUGCAGAUGUGCAGAAGUACUGUUGCUGAGAGUAAACAUGGUGAUUCAUGGGAGAUCAAUGGAUCCGUUUAACGGGAUAUUGGUCCGGUUCAAUAAGAAAGCCGUGCUCAAAAUGUUUUGGGUGCUGCUUUUUGAUUGAGCCGUGCCAAUAUCACGUUCCGCUGCUCCCAAAUCCUCAUAUCUCUUAUCAAGAAUGCGAAGCGCCAGACAGACCUUGCUACUUCUGAUCUCUUGUCCUGCUUCUCGGUUGGGGAUCGAAUUAAUUGAAGAUAUGUCGAACGCUAGGUCUUUAUCAUGGGGAUAUAUGGUCCUAGCAACUUAAAAUUAGUUCAUUUUAGAAGAAGAAGAAGAAGGCUGCUGCAUGGGGAACUCAUCCUCAAUAGUCUUUUAUAUCUCAAAGAAGGCGGCGUCUGCGUCCUACGUACUGCAAAUAGACUUGAUUUCCUGCUCAUCUUGUUCACCUGCAUGCCUACUGUCAUUUAUAUAUGGGAAGUUGUUCAAGGAAAUCAAUUUACGUAAAUCCAUUUGUUCCUCCUUAAUUUACGUAUGUGUUUAGUUUUAACUAAAAGCUUCAUGAUUAACGUAUGUCUUCCUGUACGAUGUAAUGAUGAUUUUCCAUUGAAGUAAUGACAAAGUAUAAACUAAACUCCA